rnacentral:rRNA from 1 species
UGAGUUUGAUCAUGGUUCAGGAUGAACGCUAGCGAUAGGCCUAACACAUGCAAGUCGAGGGGCAGCGAUGGUAGCAAUACCAGUCGGCGACCGGCGGAUGGGUGAGUAACACGUAUGCAACCUGCCUUCAACAUUGGAAUAACCCGUUGAAAGACGGACUAAUGCCUUAUAACACAGGGGCGCCGCAUGGCGAUAUUUGUUAAAGAUUUUAUCGGUUGAAGAUGGGCAUGCGCAUGAUUAGUUAGUUGGUAAGGUAACAGCUUACCAAGACAACGAUCAUUAGGGGUUCUGAGAGGAAGGUCCCCCACACUGGUACUGAGACACGGACCAGACUCCUACGGGAGGCAGCAGUGAGGAAUAUUGGUCAAUGAGCGAGAGCUUGAACCAGCCACGUCGCGUGCAGGAAGAAUGUCUUAUGGAUUGUAAACUGCUUUUUCGGUAGAGUAAUGUGCGUCACGUGUGACGUAUUGCAAGUAUACCGAGAAUAAGGAUCGGCUAACUCCGUGCCAGCAGCCGCGGUAAUACGGAGGAUCCGAGCGU